rnacentral:rRNA from 1 species
UACGUAGGGUGCAAGCGUUAAUCGGAAUUACUGGGCGUAAAGCGUGCGCAGGCGGUUUUGUAAGUCUGUCGUGAAAUCCCCGGGCUCAACCUGGGAAUUGCGAUGGAGACUGCAAGGCUAGAAUCUGGCAGAGGGGGGUGGAAUUCCACGUGUAGCAGUGAAAUGCGUAGAGAUGUGGAGGAACACCGAUGGCGAAGGCAGCCCCCUGGGCUAACACUGACGCUCAUGCACGAAAGCGUGGGGAGCAAACGGG